GUGUGCUAACUGAGCAAAAGUUCGACUAGCAUCCAAUCCAGGUGAUUUCUGAUCCUAAAUUUUUAAGAGAUUGUGUCUAACUAGAACGAAAUGAGUGAUUCACAAGCUGCUGUCUUUCUUGCUGAUGGUUUUUCAGCCAAUCGACCUCCAAGGUUUGAAGGAGCUCACUUUGGCUACUGGAAGAAUCGAAUGGAGCUGUUCAUCAAGACAGUCAACCCAGUCCUAUGGGUGCUCAUAGUCAAUGGUCCACAAGAGGUAAAAGCCAAUAUUGAUAAAUGGACUGAUGAUGAUGUUAGGAAAGUACAACUAAACUCUCAGGCAAUUAAUUUGAUGUAUUGUGCUCUAGGCAAGGAAGAAUUUAAUCGCAUAUCUACCUGCAAAUCUGCAAAGGAAAUAUGGGAUAAGCUAUGUAUAACUCAUGAAGGAACGAGCCUAGUUAAAACAACUAAGAUUAGUAUGUUAAAACAAGAGUUUGAAAUGUUUAAAAUGGAACCUGGUGAAUCUAUAAGAGACAUGGCUGAUAGAUUCCAGAACAUAAUAAAUAAAUUAGAAGGACUAGGAAAGACAUAUGAAAAUGAAGACAUUAUAAGAAAAAUUCUGUGGUGCUUACCUAGUCAAUGGCUUCCUAAAGUCACAGCAAUAGAAGAAACUAAGAAGCAUGCUGAUAUCAUGUUAGAUGAACUAUUAGGAUC
rnacentral:lncRNA from 1 species